AUUGAUUUUUUUUAUGUUGUAAUAUAUUAUAUUUCUACCUAUUAUAUUAAUAAAUACAUAAAAUGAUUUGGAAGCAAUAACGAUCAUACAUUGGUAUGGAAAAUUAUAAAAUAAAUUAUUUACUUAACUUAAAUCAUUAUAAACUCAGACACCCAGAAGUAAUGCCAUUGCAUCAUACCGCAGCACAUCAAAAGAUAACACCCAAGAGCAAUAAUCAUUCACGGGAGCAGAUUACCAGAACGCAAUAUCUAAUGCACGGCCACCAACGAAUUAAUGAUUUCCACAUAGGGGAACAUACAAUAUUAUCAGACUAAGAAAAUUAUUAAGACCGUCAAAAUUAAACAUAUAAAAAACAACGAUUGUGGUACCGGGCAUCCGCCGAAAGUAAUAAUUACAAAGUAAUAAAAACUAAUUACAUUAUAGACACCAUCUCACCGACAAUAUCAAAGGAUUGAUACGAGCAUACACCAGAUGAUGCAAUCGUACCUAUAUAACAACAAGACCAUUAAGACAACACACACAUUCAAAUCUAAAUAUCUAGCCAGCACCCGGCAUUAAAUACAAAACGCAAUAAAAUUAAUACACGGAUGCCAACGGUAGAAAGAAGAAAAUAAGCACACGAACCAAGUGCAAAGAAUCAAGAAUGUCAAACUGCAAGCUUAAUGACUUAUAAUUACUUCAUACACCAUAUGCAUUGCACACAAGAACACGAAUCUUGCAUCAAGCACCAUUCAAGCGAGCCCAUAUCGACCAAUGAAUCGUCAGAAGCAAUCACUCAUCAACAAACAAACCAAGUAUAAAAGUUAUACAUCUAUCAUAAUAAAUGACAAGCACAAUAAAGCACAAUAAUGUGUGCUUACCUCAACAAUAAUAUAGGUACAACAAUAAUUAUUCGGCAAUAAUCAAUACGCAAGUUUAAUUACAAUCACGGAAGACGCACAAUGCCUGAACCACAGCGCCAGGCGGCCAGCACACUGGAUGCUGCGUACCAAUAAUCUAAGAGGGGACGAAACCGGUCAUAUAAAAACGACGCAGCACGCCAGACCACACUCCAGUCCAUCUCCACAAGCAGAGCAGUGUGUACCUCUACGGGCACGAUGCUUCUCUGCCCAGAGCACACGAGAUCAUCAUCAGAAGCGAACGAAAUCGAAGACACGAAGUUUAGCUCUAUUUUUCCAAUUACGUAAACUUCUAUCAUAUUUUUAUUACACGCUCAAAAGCCCAGAUUUGAUUAUUACAUUAACUUUUCAAAAUAUCAUGUAUGGUCUUAUUGGUUCGAAAUUCACAUUUUAUGAUACAUACAAUAAUAUCAUCGCAUAAUUCUCAAAUCACAUAAGACCACAAACAUAAUUUUAGAAGUGAACCAUAUUUGGUUAACUAAAACAUAUUGCAAUAAUAACGCGCAUCGAACCACGAACGAUAAAAGAACCUCUCCAAGUACAUCGAGAUUAACAAGCACGUCGUCAAGAUAAACGCAAGACGUAUACACCGACUGAACCGUUAUAUUUGUAGAUAUUUUAAUCCCAGAUCGUAAGACGGGAAAUACGAGGACAGAUAUUAUCGUAUGAUAAUCGAUUUAAAAUGAAUCACCGUACAGUUCGCGGGUCUUCUGAGCACCGGUCACGUCCAGAAAGAAAAAUAACAAGAUACCCUCUAUCGAUCCGCCGGAGUUAAGUGCAUUUGAGCCAGCGAUAACAAAACGAUUAUUAUGUUAAUACCUAAUGCAAUUGCUAUGUCUUUUCAGCUAUUUGUAGCUACCGGAUACAACCACGGCAAUAUCGUUACACGUGGUCCAACAUCCAGUAAUCAAUUAACCGGAGUUAUCUUGCAAAGGCUCAAAUCCCCCGCAGGUAUCGCGGCUAUUGUUGGGUUUUCCGCACAAUGAAGGCUCCGUCGAACCGUAGCUUACAUGCGUAUAACGUCGUCAUAGGUCUCGCACGUCCGUGUUUUCCAUUUGUGUCGUAGCCGCGAUUUCAAAUAAUUUCCCGCCACCGUCGAAGUAAUCUUCGGAAAAAUUACCCGACGCUUUGCCGCAACGAUAACCCUGCUCAGUCUCGACCGUGAGUAUUGUUAAGCGUGAUUGUUGUCCACCUUAUAUAGUUUUUUUUAUCACGACGAUGCUUUUUCAGAUUUCGAGAACAAUAAUUGAUUUUGUAUCGAUACCUUCGCAUUAGUUCACUGGUCACGGACUUCGGUCAAGGCCGUAAUCGUAAAAAAAAUAAAUACAAUAAUCUUUCGCAUAAACUACCGUUCACGUAUUUCCGGUGGAUCCCGCUUGAUUAUGCGAUCACUCAUUUCUACCGCAAAAUGAACAAAUAAAAACCUAAACAAAAUUAUUAUUUUUUUUUUGUUUUUUAAUUUUCAAUCGACCUUUGAUUUAAACACUGUGCAGUAAUUGAUGUUUUUGCGGCUACGUUUAAUGACAUAGUUUUAAGCUUAUGUAUAUUACAGGAAAGUGAGGUUGACUAUAACUUAUAUUUGAUUUAGUUUCGUUCCUUUAAAGUGAUUUUUGUUUUUCAAUAAUAUGUUGACUGUGGUCUAUAGUUGUUGAAUUUUUAAGUGUAAUAGUAAAUGAUAGCCCACUGUAUAUCAAUUACAUGGAGAAUUUCGUUUAAAUUUAUUCAGAAACAGAAUCGAUUUGAAUUCGAAACUAAUAAGACAGAAUACAUGUUUCAUAAACUACUUUCAUUAAGAAAUUUAAAUAUGCAAAAUAAUUUAGUUAGGUACCGAGUGGAAUAUUAGAUAACAAAAGUGGUAUUUAAAAAAAAAAAAAACUUUGUUUGAGUAUUAAAAGUGCAUUGAAAGUUUUUUACAUUUAAAUUCAGAACAAAAUCGUUUGUAGUUUAUAAUACUUGAAAUUUAUAUCGAAAUUUUACAUUAAACUACGCUUUAAUAAUAAUAUAUUAUUAUAAUAUUAUAUUGUGUAUGACUUCCGGUUUCAAUCACAAAAAAAUUACAUUUUGUCGCUGAUACCGUGCGUACAUUAUUGCCGAACAGCAGUAUUGUUUUAAACGAAUGCAAUAUUUUUGUUAAGCUCCCGGUAAAUUACGUAUUAAAGCCAAGGUAAAUCUUCUGUCGAGGGGAAACAUUAAGGAGCACAGCCAGCUAAGACCCAUCCUUUUCUCCGUGUUCUCCUCACCAGUGCACCUACCACACUACGCUUUCCUGUAAACGUAUAAUAUCAUAUUUUCCUGGGCCCGGGUCAUUAGCUAUGUACUAACGGUAUGUUCGGAAAACCUGCAAACCUGCAGCUCUGCCCUUAAUUUCCUGGGAGUUCCGUUCAAAUAAUGAUCAUGCGAUUUGCAAUUAAUUUAAUCUCCUCUUCAUCCACCACUAUACUGCUACGUAUUAACAUUUAAGUCUGUGAUUCGAAUCUCGGAACGUUUAAUUUGGAUACUUUCUCGUUGCGGCAAUUUACACCAAAGUAAAUUUUAAUUACCCAACUGCUGCAUACUUUGCUAUAUUCUUUACCAAAACUGAUAUUAAACUUGAAAUAUAUUGCAGGGAUGCCAAUGGACAUUAAAAAACAACCAUUUGUUUGUUUUAUUAAAACUGUACGUAUCAUAGAUUGUGAUUUUUGUUUAUUUAUAAGAUACUAAAUAUUAUUUGAAAUUAAAUAACGAUUCAGAGUAUCAUUUAAUCUCCUUUUUAAAAUAAUAUUAGAUACUAAAAUUUUGUUAGCAAAAUAUAAAAUCGAGUUACUUAUAUAGUUUUAUAAAUUAAUGUAUUUAUUGUUUUAAUCUCAUUCAAUCCUGCAGAUACACUGUAUUUUUCAAAUGAUAAAUAUUGUCUCAAGAACUUCAGAAUAGGUAAUGUGUUAAUUUUGCCAAUACUUAUAUAAAUAUAUAACAUAUAAUAUAUAUUUAUCGAAUAAACAAAAUUAUGAAUUCCCGAAAAAUGGCUUUAUUUUGACCUAAUAGUACGACGAAUCGUUUGAACGGUGUGAAUGCGUUCAUAUGUUAUUAUGGUUAUUACCACUACCGCGAUAAGCUUUAACGGUUCAACGAUCAAAUUACGAUAUAUUAUCAUAAUCGCGCUUGUUGUCGCAACGGUCCAAAAAUAUUUUUAAAAAGGACACCGGUCGAUGACGGUAAACCGCUGCCUUUUCAGAUCGCUAUAUAGAACCCACAAGAGUCGCACAUUAUUAUCGUAUUGAAUUUUCGUAUUGUAUUAUUAUUUUAUUUUUUCACCGAAGCGACUCACGGUACAUUAGACGGGAGCGAUAUGUGACCGGCCGUUACCAAUUGUCCUGCCAUCACACCAUCACGCUGUUCUGUUUAUACGUAUAUGUGUGCAUAUAAAAUCGUAUAAUAAUAAUAAUAAUAUCUACCUCCCUUUUGUCGUCGUUUACGAUCUCGUUUUCAUGUUGUUUCGAUCGAAACGACGACGCCGCCGACCCGCAAAAGCUUCGGUAGCGGAAAACGGACGAUAAAAUAAAACGGACCGCGUUUAAUUCACCCACGGCGUCCACGUCGUCGUACAAUAAAAAUUCAAUUCUCCUCUCGUUCGUUUUUCUUUCCGCACAUCGGUCCGUUUAUAACGAUUUGAAUAGCGUUUCCGGUGUGUUAAACACGCCCGCAUUAAACUAUAGUCAAAAGUUAUGGACUCUCUUUUCUUCUUAUUUUAUUUUAUUAUUUUCGCAUAUCCUCGUUGUGUAUACACAACAAUAAUAUUUAACUUAUAUAUAUAAUAUAUUUAUUUAUAUUUAUAAUGGCACCUUUUCUUCGUGCACGCUUAGAGCUCGCUGCAGCGGGUAUAAUAGUCGUGUGGUUAUAAUAACGAUAACAAUAUAUAUAUUGUGGUAAGGCUUGUGCGUAUACAUGUCUGUGUGUAUAAAUCGUUCGCGAGAACGAUGACGACUGUCUAAUUUAUGGCCAGGGAAAACGCUCGCUGUCCGAUUGCGUUUUGGUGCGAGUGACACAAAUACACUUUCACACGCACGCACAUACUUAGGUACAUAUUUUACUCUUUCGCUCGGCACACGGACGUGAGAACAUUUUGCAUUCGCCGUUAAUGCUUUCGAGUUUAAUGUUUCACAUACGGUGACGACGACGAUGACGACUACUGCGGCCGCGCCGACGAUGACUGCUGCCGUGCCACACCACAAACUCCAUUAUCGUCUUGCAAGAUGCAUUCGGUGAGUAUAAGCAUCCGGUAUGGGAACGUUCUGGAUGUGUCGCACGUGUCCGACGGGGUUACCCGCCCCGAAAACUUCGGUCGCGAAUAACACGUGCUAUUACGAAUUCUCUCUUCGUCUAACAUCGUCUCCCCUCCCCAUCGGCAUCAACUCCAAAAGCCCGUGCACUCGGUGUAAGUCUUCAUCCGUUUCCAUUGCCACGUCGACGUGAAACGACAGUAUAUAAGGACUCUAUAAUAUGGUUUUGCGUUUUUCUUCUCAUAUACGCACCACCAAUGAUGUUCAACGCGACAACGUACGCUUUGACAAUCGCAUUACAACACCGCACCACUCGCAGUCGUCAACAGCGAAACGAAUAGAUCGCACGACAACGAAUGGUGAUCCAUCGCAUACAUAUUAUUAUUAUAUACAUUAAACGUAAUAUUAUGGUAUUUUGUGUUGUAAGGCAAUACUUUUUUUUUACGAAUAUUUUGAUAUGUAUAUAUUUUUUUACUAUACAAUUCAUAUUUUUAAAACUUUUCCCCAUUGUUUCUUAAUUUUGACCUUAACAUAAAAUGUACUAAUUAUUUGAUUGGAUGUUUGAACAAAAGUUUCAACAUCCAAAACUACUGGAGUUAAAUAAAAAUUAAUGUUGUUCAGUUCAAAAAUUGUA